rnacentral:rRNA from 1 species
UUAUUUUUUUUUCAUUCAAAUACAGAGGAAAACAAGCCAACCGGGAUUGCCGUAGUAACGGGGAGCGAAGCGGCAACAGCUCAAAUUUGACAUUUGGCUGUCGGCCCCGAGUUGUAAUUUGUAGAGGAUGCUUAGGGUUCGGUCCCUUCUGACUUCCAUGGAACGGGACGCCAUAGAGGGAGUGAGCCCCGUGUGGUUGGACGCCAAAUAUCUGUAUAGCUCUUUAGGAGAGUAGAGUAGUUUGAGAAUGGUUCUAAAAAUGGGAGGUAUAUGUUUUAUAAAGAUAAAUACCGCCCAGAGACCGAUAGCGCACAAGUAGAGUGAUCGAAAGAUGAAAAGCACUUUGAAAAGAGAGUUAAAAAGUACGUGAAAUUGUUGAAAGGGAAGCGUUUAUGACCAGACUUGGGCAGGGUUAAUCAUGUGGGGUUCUCCCCAGUGCUCUUUUCCAGUCCAGGCCAGCAUCAGUUUUGGCGGGGGGAUAAGGGCUUGGGGAAGGUGGUUCUCUCCGGGGAGUGUUAUAGCCCGGUGGGUAAUACCCCGGCGGGGACUGGAGGUUCGUCGCAUUGGCAAAG